UACGUAGGGUGCAAGCGUUGUCCGGAAUCAUUGGGCGUAAAGAGCUCGUAGGCGGUUUGUUGCGUCGGCUGUGAAAUCCCGAGGCUCAACCUCGGGUCUGCAGUCGAUACGAGCAAACUAGAGUGUUGCAGGGGAGACUGGAAUUCCUGGUGUAGCGGUGAAAUGCGCAGAUAUCAGGAGGAACACCGGUGGCGAAGGCGGGUCUCUGGGCAACAACUGACGCUGAGGAGCGAAAGCGUGGGGAGCAAACAGG
rnacentral:rRNA from 1 species